AAAGAUGUAGUAUAAAAAAUACAUUUCAUUUACACUGAAAACAUAUUUAAAUGAUAAAUCGUCUUUA
rnacentral:tRNA from 1 species